UUAAUGGAGAGUUUGAUCCUGGCUCAGGAUGAACGCUGGCGGCGUGCUUAACACAUGCAAGUCGAACGAUGAAGACCGUGCUUGCACGGUUGGAUUAGUGGCGAACGGGUGAGUAUCACGUGAGUAACCUUCCCUUAACUCUGGGAUAAGCCCGGGAAACUGGGUCUAAUACCGGAUACGACCAGUCCUCGCAUGGGGUGCUGGUGGAAAGAUUUAUCGGUUUUGGAUGGACUCGCGGCCUAUCAGCUUGUUGGUGAGGUAAUGGCUCACCAAGGCGAUGACGGGUAGCCGGCCUGAGAGGGUGACCGGCCACACUGGGACUGAGACACGGCCCAGACUCCUACGGGAGGCAGCAGUGGGGAAUAUUGCACAAUGGGCGAAAGCCUGAUGCAGCGACGCCGCGUGCGGGAUGACGGCCUUCGGGUUGUAAACCGCUUUCAGCAGGGAAGAAGCGAAAGUGACGGUACCUGCAGAAGAAGCGCCGGCUAACUACGUGCCAGCAGCCGCGGUAAUACGUAGGGCGCGAGCGUUAUCCGGAAUUAUUGGGCGUAAAGAGCUCGUAGGCGGUUUGUCACGUCUGCUGUGAAAGCCCGGGGCUCAACCCCGGGUGUGCAGUGGGUACGGGCAGACUAGAGUGCAGUAGGGGAGACUGGAAUUCCUGGUGUAGCGGUGAAAUGCGCAGAUAUCAGGAGGAACACCGAUGGCGAAGGCAGGUCUCUGGGCUGUUACUGACGCUGAGGAGCGAAAGCAUGGGGAGCGAACAGGAUUAGAUACCCUGGUAGUCCAUGCCGUAAACGUUGGGCACUAGGUGUGGGGAACAUUCCACGUUUUCCGCGCCGUAGCUAACGCAUUAAGUGCCCCGCCUGGGGAGUACGGCCGCAAGGCUAAAACUCAAAGGAAUUGACGGGGGCCCGCACAAGCGGCGGAGCAUGCGGAUUAAUUCGAUGCAACGCGAAGAACCUUACCAAGGCUUGACAUGGACCGGACCGCUGCAGAGAUGCAGUUUCCCUUCGGGGUCGGUUCACAGGUGGUGCAUGGUUGUCGUCAGCUCGUGUCGUGAGAUGUUGGGUUAAGUCCCGCAACGAGCGCAACCCCUAUCCUAUGUUGCCAGCACGUCAUGGUGGGGACUCAUGGGAGACUGCCGGGGUCAACUCGGAGGAAGGUGGGGACGACGUCAAAUCAUCAUGCCCCUUAUGUCUUGGGCUUCACGCAUGCUACAAUGGCCGGUACAAUGGGUUGCGAUACUGUGAGGUGGAGCUAAUCCCUAAAAGCCGGUCUCAGUUCGGAUCGAAGUCUGCAACUCGACUUCGUGAAGUUGGAGUCGCUAGUAAUCGCAGAUCAGCAACGCUGCGGUGAAUACGUUCCCGGGCCUUGUACACACCGCCCGUCAAGUCACGAAAGUGGGUAACACCCGAAGCCGGUGGCCUAACCCUUGUGGGGGGAGCCGUCGAAGGUGGGACUCGCGAUUGGGACUAAGUCGUAACAAGGUAGCCGUACCGGAAGGUGCGGCUGGAUCACCUCCUUU
rnacentral:rRNA from 1 species